UAGUGAUGUUGGGAAGCCAGUGGAUGCAAUGUGAUUUAGAACAAUCUAAUACAGUGAAAUUCUACCUUUAGGAAAGUUGGUCUUGGAUCUAAGAAACAUGGUGGGAACUUCAGCAUAACGGCACCCCGAAAGGAGGCCAUCAGGGGUGCUGAGCCCCAGCAUCUACUUAAACCUCGGGUGGUGUGAAGAUUCAGUGAAAAUGGAGGAGAAAGAAGAGAUUGCAGAGGGGGCCAUGGGUACAGAUACUCAAGGAUUUAUCGACACCCUGUGUACAUAAAAAGACAAGAUACACUCGUCAAGAAUCACAAGGCACAACACCCAGUGACAGUCAUACGGAAAGAAAUAAAACAAAUAUCGGAAGGCUUUGGAGCAAGAUGAAUAUCUAAUAGGAAAUCAAAAAGGGAGAAAAAAAAAUGAACAGUAUGAAUCAGUGAAGGUAGUAAACAGAUGGAAAUUGUACCUUUCAUACCAAGGUAAAAUCAUGGAUAAUAUUCAUACAUCUUAAUAAAAGUACAGCAGUGAUAAUUUUCAAAGCUAUUAAUCUAUGACAAAUUG